rnacentral:rRNA from 1 species
AACGAACGCUGGCGGCGUGCCUAACACAUGCAAGUCGAACGAGAAAGGGGCUUCGGCUCCGAGUAAAGUGGCGCACGGGUGAGUAACACGUGGGUAACCUGCCUCUAAGAUUGGGAUAACUCGUCGAAAGAUGAGCUAAUACCGAAUAAGACCACAGUUCCCGCGGGAACAGGGGUCAAAGGUAGCCUCUGCUUGCAAGCUAUCACUUAGAGAUGGGCCUGCGCACCAUUAGCUAGUUGGUAGGGUAACGGCCUACCAAGGCAAAGAUGGUUAGCUGGUCUGAGAGAAGGAUCAGCCACACUGGAACUGAGACACGGUCCAGACUCCUACGGGAGGCCGCAGUGGGGAAUAUUGCGCAAUGGGCGAAAGCUUGACGCAGCAACGCCGCGUGAGUGAUGAAGGCCUUCGGGUCGUAAAGCUCUGUCGGGAGGAACGAAUGCUCCUGAGGUUAACAGCCUCGGGAGGUGACGGUACCGUCAAAGGAAGCACCGGCUAACUCUGU